UACGUAGGGGGCAAGCGUUGUCCGGAUUUAUUGGGCGUAAAGAGCGUGUAGGCGGCCAGGUAGGUCUGGUGUGAAAACUCGAGGCUUAACCUCGAGAUGUCAUCGGAAACCAUUUGGCUAGAGUCCGGGAAGAGGAGAGUGGAAUUCCUGGUGUAGCGGUGAAAUGCGCAGAUAUCGGGAGGAACACCAGUGGCGAAGGCGGCUUCCUGGACCGGUUCUGACACUGAGGAGCGAAAGCGUGGGGAGCGAUCCGG
rnacentral:rRNA from 1 species